CCUCUGUGUCUCCUGCCAUGCUGAUGGUCUGGUAUCUGUAUUCCAGGGCACCCUUCUCAUGCACAGGGUUGCAUGGAAUAGCUUUUCCUAUCCUUUCAACAUUUAACCUCUUUUAAGCAUAGCCGGGUCUUGGGGGGUCUUUCUCGGUUUGACAGUGUCUGCCUUUCGUUCGGGUGUCCCUCUGUCUACCUUACACAUAACCCGCCGGACGGUGGUCUCCUAGGGUGCCCCCUUCCCGUCUGUCCUCUGAUUGUCUCAUCUCAGCCUCUGCUCUUCAAUUGUCCUGUUUUUUUGAGUCUCUGUUCCUCGACGCUUGUUUUUCUUAGGUUAACUGAAUCUUUUUGGUAUUCAUUUUAAUUUCUCUGUGGGCCCGUUAGCUCGGCCUCUCUGUGUCAUUUAAUCUUGGAAGCUAUUCUAGGUAUUACAACGUGCAUCGUUAGUUACGGCAGUCUAUUGGCCACUUCACAACAAUGCAGGGAUCUGGUGACACUGUCAUUCCCGUAACCGCCGUCCUUGGUGCUGUUGUUACGUGUUUCACUUCUACGCCUGCUGUACACUCUCUAACUGUGAGAAACUGGGUGCCACGGGAUGGGUUCUCUGGGAAGCCGACGCUGAGAUGGAGCUGGGAGCCAUCUUGUCCUGAUGUCUCAUCGUGAAUAAGUCUAUCAGAUCUCCUCUUGGGGGUGAGGCUGGGUGGAGACGGCAGAUCUGCACGGUGGAGAAAAGAGAAGAAGGCCAGCACAGUGGCAUUGAGGAAUCCAGGGAGCUCCUGGCCAACUUGGCCUGAGUCUUGCAUUUCAGAUGAAAAAAGGAAAACUGUGACAGCAAGAGAGCUUUCAAGGAUUAAUGGAGUUCUGUCAAAAAGACAACAGGCCAAUUUGAAAAAGGUCCCACUGGUCAAAUCUGUGACACUUUGAGCAUCAAAAAGAAUGUUGCUCAGGGUUGACUGACUACAUCUGACCUGUGUAAAUCCACUAUUCCAUAAUCGCUCUCACACGAGAGAAAGUUGGACAUUAAACCAGCUCUUCCUGUUGAAUAUUGUUGGCCAAAGGAAACAUUUAAGCAUUAUCCUGCUUCCUGCUUCCUGCUAGGCACCGAAUGUCGGCAGAACCAGGGCACUCUGGUUGUGAGGAAAGACCCACUUUAAAAAGGAAUGUUGGCUGAUAAUGAGGGAGGAGUGACAGCAUUAGAAAACCAUCCUUGUCAAUCCCUGUUGAGAAGAUUGAUGAGGCCAAGGAUAGAAUCUGUGUUGAGACGCUCAGAUGAGGGCCUGUGGGGACCCGGAUACUCGUCUGGUUUCAGAGAGAGAGGGAGGCCGGUGGAUCUGCACAGACAUCACACCCGGCCUCACGGCGGAGCCCACGUGCGGGUCCUCUGUGAGAGGUGGCCCAGCCCAGUGUCCAUCUUGAACAUGUCCAGCCUUCAGAGUGAAUUUCCAUUCUUAAGGAACGAGAGAGGAUAGAGGAGCAAACACAGCACAAGGCAGCACCCCCAGGUCAGAAGCGGGGCAUCCGCGGGACAGCAGUCUCCUCGAGUCAGUCCGGGACGUCACCAGGUUCCCUGCAUGGUCUUGUUCGGACAAACCUGUUGUCACAGGAACUUUUGGGCAACUGGGGACCUUUGAAGAUGGACUCAAUCUUGGCUGAUGUGAAGGAAUCUUUACGUAUUGUCAAGUAUGGUAAUUUAAUUUUGGCUAGGCAGGGAAAGGCUCUCAUUUUGAAAAGACGCACUGAAAAAAAGGAGACAGGACACAGCCGGCGAUGUCUAGGGACGCUGUCCACAUUUAAGCUGCUCUGUUCUUGAUUGAGUUUUCCUUUCUGCACCUUGGAGUGGAACUCAGACCCCAACACCAGACAGGCCUCCGCAGGGAGCAGCGGGUGCCGCCAGCUCUGCUCUCCCGCGAACUGUCAUGGGUACCGCCCGCGAUGACCCGCGUUGCCCGCGGCUUGCGCUGCAGAGAGCCAUAGGCCGGCACCUCGGGACGUGAGCCGGCUGCCCUGCUUUUCCCCGCCACAGCUCCCCAGGCCCUCUUCUGUAACUCCCAAGUCCAAAUUGUCCUGAAAACUGGAAGCCUUUUUUGUAGCUCCCUUGGCAGCAAGACCUUCUCAUGUCCCAGCGGGAGGAACCUCCCAUGCGUUUUCCCAGCAGAAACACUGGGAUGCCUGAUGACAGGUGUUAGGGAACUUCCGGGAUGUGCUCUGUGGUACCUUCCAGAAGUGGAGAUAUUCUGAGUCCCAAGUACAUCUGAAUAAGGGGUUGUGGUCCUCUGUUCUUCUUACUGAUGAGGAAACCAAGGCACAGCGGGCUGAGGAGAGGCCCCGGCCACGCAGCCCUGAGUGGUCAUCUGGGCAGUUUGCCUCCAGGGUGUGUUGUCCUAACUUCCCAACACUGUCUCAGUUAUGAAAAACAAGGAGCCACAACUUCAGAGUUACUUUUAAUAUUCAGAGGUAUAUCGUUCUAGUCAACCAUAUUCAAUUUGCCAAAAUUUGGUGCGAGGUAUGGAAAACCAUUCAACCAUUUAGCAGGACAGAAACGAACCAGCAAGCUGGCAUCAUCCUGUUGUUUGAAAAUAAACGUCAGAUCUGAGCAGCAAGACUGUUGUAGAGAAGCGUCAGCAAGCUCAGUAGAUGGAUCACAGGUACCCGUAAUCUCAGUCCGGCAAGGCGCCUGUUGAUGCAAAUAAUCCAUAACCAGUCUAUAAAUCAAAAUUGGGGGGAGUGGAUUAUAAGCCAGACCUGAGCACCAUACAGCUGGCAGACUUCUUCCACAAAGGAACGGAGCGCUCCACAGAGGUGGGGGCGUAUAGGGUGGUUAUAUACCCUCAAAGAGGAUGUGUCACAUAUGAUUGGAAUGUCCCUUUCACAACAGUCAUGAGGUUGCCCUGUCAGCACAGCGAU
ensembl:lncRNA